rnacentral:rRNA from 1 species
UACGAAGGGGGCUAGCGUUGUUCGGAAUUACUGGGCGUAAAGCGCACGUAGGCGGAUUGUUAAGUGAGGGGUGAAAUCCCAGGGCUCAACCCUGGAACUGCCUUUCAUACUGGCAAUCUCGAGUCCGAGAGAGGUGAGUGGAAUUCCGAGUGUAGAGGUGAAAUUCGUAGAUAUUCGGAGGAACACCAGUGGCGAAGGCGGCUCACUGGCUCGGUACUGACGCUGAGGUGCGAAAGCGUGGGAGCAAACAGG